CGUUGGGGCGCGGCCUCCCAGUGUCGGAGCCAGGCCGGGCCACCAAACUGCGGUGGAGAGCGCAGGAGCCCGACCUCCCAGCUUGGAGCGGGGCUGGGCCACCCCGGCAGUGCAGCGCGCAGAAUAACUUGGACGGAGAUCAUGGAUUGUGCAUCCAGUGCAGCCACUCCUAUGUGUCUUGAUGCCUCUUGUGAGCAUGAAUGAACAGUCAGCCAAGAAGCAGCAGAAGAGGAAGAGGGCCUUCUUUGAAUUGGAUAUUGGGGAUAAAGAAUCUAUAUCCGCUGAAUUGCAGCGAGAAAUGAAAUCUUGUGAGCAUUUUGUGAUUCUUUUGUAGUCUUGUGAAAACAAUGAAAUGAAAUGUCGUAAUUGUUGUGUAGUCUUGUGAUCCUUGUGACUUGUCAAAUAAGAUCUUGAUUCUUGUGUAAUGAAAUCUUGUGAUUGUUGUGACUCUUGUAAAA